UGAGUACGAGAUGCUACGGCAUCGAAGCAGUCUAUGUCAUACUUCCAAGAAAAGCUUGCACUGUCAUAAACAAAGAAUGCCUGUACCACAACCGACACAGGUGGGUAGGUAGAGUAUACUAAGGGGCGCGAGAUAACUCUCUCUAAGGAACUCGGCAAAAUGACUCCGUAACUUCGGGAGAAGGAGUGCCUUAUUUCUAAGGUUGCAAUAACAAGAUCCAAGCAACUGUUUACCAAAAACACAGGUCUCCGCUAAGUCGUAAGACGAUGUAUGGGGGCUGACGCCUGCCCAGUGCCAGAAGGUUAAAGAAGUUGGUUAGCAUUAGCGAAGCUGAUAACUGAAGCCCUGGUGAACGGCGGCCGUAACAAUAACGGUCCUAAGGUAGCGAAAUUCCUUGUCGGGUAAGUUCCGACCCGCACGAAAGGCGUAAUGAUUUGGAUACUGUCUCGGAGAGGGGCUCGGUGAAAUAGACUUGUCUGUGAAGAUGCGGACUACCUGCACCUGGACAGAAAGACCCUAUGAAGCUUUACUGUAACUUGAGAUUGAAAUUGGACUUUAUUUGCGCAGUAUAGGUGGGAGGCGUUGAGAAUAAUCUUGCGGGAUUGUUGGAGCCAUCAGUGAGAUACCACUCUUGUAAUGUUAGAUUUCUAACUUUGUAUCAUUAUCUGGUCAAAGAACAGUUUCAGGCGGGCAGUUUGACUGGGGCGGUCGCCUCCCAAAGGGUAACGGAGGCGCACAAAGGUUUCCUCUGAACGGGUAGAAAUCGUAUCUAGAGUGUAAAGGCAUAAGGAAGCUUGACUGUGAGACCUACAAGUCGAGCAGGGACGAAAGUCGGUCUUAGUGAUCUGACGGUGCUGAGUGGAAAGGCCGUCACUCAACGGAUAAAAGUUACUCUAGGAUAACAGGCUGAUCUCCCCCAAGAGUUCACAUCGACGGGGAGGUUUGGCACCUCGAUGUCGGCUCAUCGCAUCCUGGGGCGGUAGUCCGUCCCAAGGGUUGGGCUGUUCGCCCAUGAAAGCGGUACGCGAGCUGGGUUCAGAACGUCGUGAGACAGUUCGGUCCAUAUCCGGUGUAGGCGUUGAAUAUUGAGAGGAGCCUUCUCUAGUACGAGAGGACCGAGAAGGACAUACCUCUGGUGUACCAGUUAUCGUGCCAACGGUAAACGCUGGGUAGCUAUGUAUGGAGUGGAUAACCGCUGAAAGCAUCUAAGUGGGAAGCCCACCUCAAGAUAAGUAUUCGC
rnacentral:rRNA from 1 species